rnacentral:lncRNA from 1 species
CUGUUGGGCGGUGGCGCGCGCGCGAGGAGGUGGGCCGCGAGGCUGGCGCGCGCGAGCCUGGGCCGAGCCGGCUGCUAGGCCGGCUCGGGCCUGAGGUAAGCAGGUAAGGCUUUUCUUUUAUUUCUUUUUGCUUUUUCCUAUUUUCUCUUUUGCAAAUGCUUUUGGAUUCAAAUUUCAAAUACCAUUUUGAAAAGCGGAGGAGUAGGAGAGUUCAAAUAUGGUACUAGU